rnacentral:rRNA from 1 species
AGAGUUUGAUCCUGGCUCAGGAUGAACGCUAGCUACAGGCUUAACACAUGCAAGUCGAGGGGCAGCAUGGUCUUAGCUUGCUAAGGCCGAUGGCGACCGGCGCACGGGUGAGUAACGCGUAUCCAACCUGCCUUACACUCUUGGACAGCCUUCUGAAAGGGAGAUUAAUACAAGAUGUUAUCAUGAGUAAGCAUUUUCGCAUGAUUAAAGGUUUACCGGUGUAAGAUGGGGAUGCGUUCCAUUAGAUAGUAGGCGGGGUAACGGCCCACCUAGUCUUCGAUGGAUAGGGGUUCUGAGAGGAAGGUCCCCCACAUUGGAACUGAGACACGGUCCAAACUCCUACGGGAGGCAGCAGUGAGGAAUAUUGGUCAAUGGGCGAGAGCCUGAACCAGCCAAGUAGCGUGAAGGAUGACUGCCCUAUGGGUUGUAAACUUCUUUUAUAAAGGAAUAAAGUCGGGUAUGGAUACCCGUUUGCAUGUACUUUAUGAAUAAGGAUCGGCUAACUCCGUGCCAGCAGCCGCGGUAAUACGGAGGAUCCGAGCGUUAUCCGGAUUUAUUGGGUUUAAAGGGAGCGUAGAUGGGUUGUUAAGUCAGUUGUGAAAGUUUGCGGCUCAACCGUAAAAUUGCAAUUGAUACUGGCAGUCUUGAGUACAGUUGAGGUAGGCGGAAUUCGUGGUGUAGCGGUGAAAUGCUUAGAUAUCACGAAGAACUCCGAUUGCGAAGGCAGCUUACUAACCUGUAACUGACAUUGAUGCUCGAAAGUGUGGGUAUCAAACAGGAUUAGAUACCCUGGUAGUCCACACGGUAAACGAUGAAUACUCGCUGUAGGCGAUAUACAGUCUGCGGCCAAGCGAAAGCAUUAAGUAUUCCACCUGGGGAGUACGCCGGCAACGGUGAAACUCAAAGGAAUUGACGGGGGCCCGCACAAGCGGAGGAACAUGUGGUUUAA